rnacentral:rRNA from 1 species
AGAACGAACGCUGGCGGCAUGCCUAAUACAUGCAAGUCGAACGAACUCUUCGGAGUUAGUGGCGCACGGGUGCGUAACGCGUGGGAAUCUGCCCCUUGGUUCGGAAUAACAGUUGGAAACGACUGCUAAUACCGGAUGAUGACGAAAGUCCAAAGAUUUAUCGCCAAGGGAUGAGCCCGCGUAGGAUUAGCUAGUUGGUGAGGUAAAGGCUCACCAAGGCAACGAUCCUUAGCUGGUCUGAGAGGAUGAUCAGCCACACUGGGACUGAGACACGGCCCAGACUCCUACGGGAGCAGCAGUAGGGAAUAUUGGACAAGUGGGCGAAAGCCUGAUCCAGCAAUGCCGCGUGAGUGAUGAAGGU